rnacentral:rRNA from 1 species
UACGUAGGGGGCAAGCGUUGUCCGGAAUCAUUGGGCGUAAAGCGCGUGUAGGCGGCCAGGUAGGUCUGCUGUGAAAACUCGAGGCUCAACCUCGAGACGUCGGCGGAAACCAUCUGGCUAGAGUCCGGAAGAGGAGAGUGGAAUUCCUGGUGUAGCGGUGAAAUGCGCAGAUAUCAGGAAGAACACCCGUGGCGAAGGCGGCUCACUGGGACUCUUCUGACGCUGAGGCACGAAAGCUAGGGGAGCGAACGGG